rnacentral:rRNA from 1 species
AUUGAACGCUGGCGGCAUGCCUUACACAUGCAAGUCGAACGGCAGCGGGCCUUCGGGUGCCGGCGAGUGGCGAACGGGUGAGUAAUGCAUCGGAACGUGCCAUUGAGUGGGGGAUAACGUAGCGAAAGUUACGCUAAUACCGCAUAUUCUGUGAGCAGGAAAGCAGGGGACCGCAAGGCCUUGCGCUCUUUGAGCGGCCGAUGUCAGAUUAGCUAGUUGGUGAGGUAAAGGCUUACCAAGGCGACGAUCUGUAGCGGGUCUGAGAGGAUGAUCCGCCACACUGGAACUGAGACACGGUCCAGACUCCUACGGGAGGCAGCAGUGGGGAAUAUUGCGCAAUGGGCGAAAGCCUGACGCAGCCACGCCGCGUGAGCGAUGAAGGCCUUCGGGUCGUAAAGCUCUGUGGGGAGAGACGAAGAAAGCCCGUGAAGAGCGGGCCUUGACGGUAUCUCCUUAGCAAGCACCGGCUAACUCCGUGCCAGCA